ACCGCGAUAGGUCAAGAUUUCUGGAAUGGAUCCUGGCUUAAAUCUACAUGGCCCCUGGAUUGGACUGCGGCCGAUCAGGCUGUUGGUGAGGUAAUGGCCCACCAAACCUAUAACCGGUACGGGCUCUGAGAGGAGAAGCCCGGAGAUGGGCACUGAGACGAGGGCCCAGGCCCUAUGGGGCGCAGCAGGCGCGAAACCUCUGCAAUGGGCGAAAGCCUGACAGGGUUACUCUGAGUGAUUUCCGCUAAGGAGAUCUUUUGGCAGCUCUAAAAAUGGUGCAGAAUAAGGGGUGGGCAAGUCUGGUGUCAGCCGCCGCGGUAAUACCAGCACCCCGAGUGGUCGGGACGAUUAUUGGGCCUAAAGCAUCCGUAGCCGGUUGUGCAAGUCCUCCGUUAAAUCCAGCCGCUCAACGGAUGGGCUGCGGAGGAUACUACAGGACUAGGAGGCGGGAGAGGCAAGCGGUACUUAGUGGGUAGGGGUAAAAUCCUUUGAUCCAUUGAAGACCACCAGUGGCGAAGGCGGCUUGCCAGAACGCGCUCGACGGUGAGGGAUGAAAGCUGGGGGAGCAAACCGGAUUAGAUACCCGGGUAGUCCCAGCUGUAAACGAUG
rnacentral:rRNA from 1 species